rnacentral:rRNA from 1 species
CAGUCGCCGCGGCAAUACCGAGGGUGCGAGCGUUAAUCGGAUUUACUGGGCGUAAAGCGUGCGUAGGCGGCUUUUUAAGUCGGAUGUGAAAUCCCUGAGCUUAACUUAGGAAUUGCAUUCGAUACUGGGAAGCUAGAGUAUGGGAGAGGAUGGUAGAAUUCCAGGUGUAGCGGUGAAAUGCGUAGAGAUCUGGAGGAAUACCGAUGGCGAAGGCAGCCAUCUGGCCUAAUACUGACGCUGAGGUACGAAAGCAUGGGGAGCAAACAGGAUUAGAUACCCGUGUAGUCCCUGUCUCUUAUAC